rnacentral:rRNA from 1 species
GAUCCUGGCUCAGGAUGAACGCUAGCUACAGGCUUAACACAUGCAAGUCGAGGGGAAACGACAUCGAAAGCUUGCUUUUGAUGGGCGUCGACCGGCGCACGGGUGAGUAACGCGUAUCCAACCUGCCCACCACUUGGGGAUAACCUUGCGAAAGUAAGACUAAUACCCAAUGACGUCUCUAGAAGACAUCUGAAAGAGAUUAAAGAUUUACCGGUGAUGGAUGGGGAUGCGUCUGAUUAGCUUG